UUCCAAAAAAAGCCUGACCUGCAUGACAUAGUAUCUUUGACAUUUCCAGUAGAAAUCUGAUGGAGAAUAACCAUUGGACAUAAAACCAUAAAAUUCUACCACUUUCACCAACUUGGCACACAAAUUAUGAAGCAGCAAGCUAUUUCAGCAUGCGCCCAAACGACGUGAUCUCCCUAGCCAUUAUACAGCAAUAACAGUAUUUGCUAACUAAAAAUUCAGGCUACUGUGAAGAAUCAGAGAACACUUGCAAGGAGCACUGCAGUUGCAGAGCAAUGGCUGAACAGAGACCUUUGGCUGGAACUCAAGAGCAGAAGGAAAGCUUACGCUCUCUGGAAGAAUGGGCAAGCGACUUAUAAUGAUUACAGAUAACACCUGGCAAUACCAUAAUUGAAAGAAAACAAGGGAUUUCCCAGUGCUCCAGCACAGCCUGCCUUCAGACAGCAGAUUUCACAAGAGGGAUUGGUGCUGUGUCUGAUCUUGUUCAACAUCUUCAUCAGUGAACUGGAUGAAGGGAUAGAGGUGCACCCUCACCAAGUCUGAAGAUAUAAAGCUGGGAGGAAUGGCAGCAAGACCUGGACAGGCUGGGGAGUUGGAUGGAGAGGAAACUUCAGAGGCUGAACAAGCCCAGUUCCUUCACCCUAUCUUCAUAGGAGAACUGCUCCAGCCCUCGGAUCAACUUCAUGGCCUUUCUCUGGACUCUCUUCAAAAGCUCCACAUCUUUCUUGUGCUGAGGGCCCCUGACUUGGAUGCAGUAAUCCGGCUGGGACCUCACAAGGGCAGAAUAGAGGGGGAGAAUCACCUCCCUUGUCCUGCUGACUGCCCCUCUUCUGAGGGAAUCCUCUGAUCUCUCUAUAUGAACUACACAUAUAACCUAGCUAGUAAUAUACACUGUAUGUGCAACCUCAAUUAAUUGUGCACUUCGUAACAAUUUGAAGUAUCAGGGAAAAAUAAUAUCUCUCAGCUGUGGUGCUGGUUGUGGUUUUAGUUUGUUUUGCUUUUCCAUUAGCAAUCUGGUAUUUGUGGCUGACAUUUUUAUUGCAUUAAUGGCAGGAAACAAUAUGAAAAGAAUGCAGACAGAAGUGGAAAGCAUUAACAGAAACAUUUAGAAACACUGCAGCGACAUUCUAAUUAUAAUGGUGAGUAAUAGGCACAUAGUGGAAAAGGCCAGGUUCAGAGAAUGUUCAGUGAAAUUUAAAAUUUAAAUUUCAACUCUAAAAAGUAGAAGACUUGUAAAAUUUUAAUGAGUGUUUACCCUUUGCAGUGUUGUACUAUGGACAGAUACGACAUCAUGAGACUGAAAAAAAAUUAAAGUUGUUGUCUAAGUUGUAUCAUCACAUAGCUUCAUUGAAAAUUAGUGGAUUAUUAAAAAAAUAAAUUAAUAAAAAAUACACAGAACUAAGUCUCCAAUUCAAGGUGUUGGUUAUUUUGUUUGUCUUUGCAGAGCUUGAGAUUCUGGCAUUUGUAAUUAAAGGCUGUGGCAUGAAGGAAAUUUUGGGGUCAAUGUGUCAUGCUCAAUUUGUCAUUAUAGCAAGAAGCACAGUAUAUUCUGUACUAAUUGCAUUUACCCAUCGCCAUAUUUAGUUUUCAUUAAAAAGGAACAAUAAAAAAAAAUCACUGCUCGGUUUUGUUCAAAGAUGCAAGAGAUUUUGCUGUUUGCUGAGGAAAAGAAUACGUUAAAAAAAAAAGGAAACUUAUCACAGAAUUUAUGUAGAACUGGAGAUCUAGUUUUGUCUUAUUAAAUGAGGACCAGAUCUAACCACCAGAGAAGUUAACAGAAGACUUCCCCUUACAAUUUAGCAGGCAUUGGAUUAAAGCAUUGCUUUUUGGUGAGUCACAAUUUGCUGCAGCUGUCAUUUUAUCAGUGUUGCAGACCUAAUUUGUGAGUUUCAGUACAUACUUUCUCUUCAUUUUGAGCUUUGGAAGUUGACUUGUGGGCUAGGAAGGAGGAUGGCUUUUUCAGGAACUAAUGCAUUCGAAAAUUCUUAUUUGAAGACAACUGAAUGCAAACUGCAUUGAUCUACAUAUAAUGAUCUCCACACAAAUAGUUUAGCUGGAAGGGAUAGCAGCUAAGCUCUAUAUGGUGACUGUACUUGGCUCCUACAAACCUCAGCACAUAUGAGUAACUGCAUGCAUUGCCUAGUUCCAGAGGGGCAGUAGGACUGCUUGUUUCAGUAGUGACUGAUACACAUGGGUGUUUGUAGGAUCAAGCCCCACUGUGAAGCAGAAAGAAAACAUCUCCUUGGAGGGAGCUACUAAGCAGAACAUACACGAAGGGUAAGGAACAAAGAGAUAUUUCAAGAUGAGGUACUGCACACAGAGUAGAUGAGUCAUGGAAAAGAUGCUAAGUGAUUCAUUAAUGCCAGAAGCUUAGCCAAUAAAGAAUGCCCAUGUAUGAAACUAAUGACUACGCUUUUACAAUGCUACCAAACUAUUUGCUUUUGUAAACUUAACAUAGGAAUUAUUUUCUCCCAUUUUGAAAAUUUAUUAUGCAAUUACUUGUCACUUUAAUAAACUCUAUGCAUGGCUGUGAUAACGGUUGCUCAAAGUACUGAGGACUUUACAGUUUUUGUUUUAAAAAAGAAAAACACUAGGAACUUCAAGUCCUGCCAAUUUUUUCCUCCCUGCCAAGUCCUAUUAGCAUAAAUGAACGGUUUAUUUUAAGAAAUGCCUGAUAAAUUACUCUACACAAUCAGUAAUGAGGGUACUGUCAGCAAAGGAGAAUCAUUUCCAAAAUUUACUUGGCACAGAUGAGAGGCUGACUAGCUCACAAUCAUGCUACA